CGUAGCGAUGGAAAACAGAGGAGGGAAAGUGAGAAGUGAUGGCGAGCGGCGGACGGCAGAGUAACGCGUAGGAACAUACCCAAACUGAGGGAUAACUGCUCGAAAGAGUAGCUAAUACCGCAUGUGGUCUUCGGAUUAAAAGGCUUCGGCGGUUUGGGAAUGGCCUGCGUCCGAUUAGCUUGUUGGUGAGGUAAAAGCUCACCAAGGCGACGAUCGGUAGCUGGUCUGAGAGGAUGAUCAGCCUGACUGGAACUGAGAACGGUCCAGACUCCUACGGGAGGCAGCAGUAGGGAAUUUUCCACAAUGGCGAAAGCCUGAUGGAGCAACGCCGCGUGCAGGAUGAAUGCCUUCGGGUUGUAAACUGCUUUUAUUAGUGAAGAAUAUGACGGUAACUAAUGAAUAAGGGUCGGCUAACUACGUG
rnacentral:rRNA from 1 species